rfam:Penicillium oxalicum 114-2 unplaced genomic scaffold scaffold_2, whole genome shotgun sequence.
GCUCCUUUCGUGUAGUUGGUUAUCACGUGGGAUUUUGACUAGUUCAUUCGAUCGGUCUGUCUUCCCAAAACGCAAGUUCGAAUCUUGCAAGGAGCU